GGAAGUAACCGACUUGUUGUUAACUCUGAUAAUAUGGAAGUAAUUGACACGAUGAAGAAUGGAGGACAUACAGCGGGAGCGGCGGCAGCUGUGUUUGAGGAUUGUUAUUUUUUGGUUUGUGAUUUUUCGUUAGUUAGAUUUGAACACUGUAAUAGGAAGGCAAAUAAAGUAGCUCAUGAAGUUGCUAGAGUAGCCAAAUUUUCUGAGACAAAGGACUGGUUUGAGGAACCUAUGAAUGAUAUUGUAAAUUUUCUUAUAGAUGAUGUAACCAUUAUUACUAAUAAAUAA
rnacentral:rRNA from 1 species